ensembl:snRNA U2 U2 spliceosomal RNA
AUCGCUUCUCAGCCUUUUGGCUAAGAUCAAGUGUAGUAUCUGUUCUUAUCAGUUUAAUAAGAAAGACAUCGAGGAACUGCCAGAUAAAGGAUUCUUAAAAACCACU